rnacentral:rRNA from 1 species
CUGGCGGCGUGCUUCAUACAUGCAAGUCGAACGAGAAUCUUAUCGGUAAGAGGAAAGUGGCGGACGGGUGAGUAAUAUGUAGAGAAUCUGCCCUUAAGCGGGGACAACAGUUGGAAACGACUGCUAAUACCCCAUAUGAGCGUACCUGAAAUGGUAUUCUUGAAAACUCCGGUGCUUAAGGAUGAGUCUGCAUCUGAUUAGCUAGUUGGGGGUGUAAUGGACCACCAAGGCGACGAUCAGUAGCUGGUUUGAGAGGAUGAUCAGCCACAAUGGGACUGAGACACGGCCCAUACUCCUACGGGAGGCAGCAGUAGGGAAUUUUGCGCAAUGGGCGAAAGCCUGAACCGCAGCAACGCCGCGUGAACGAGAAGCCCUUCGGGGUGUAAAGUUCUGUCAGUAGGGACGAACAAUGACUGUACCUACAGAGGAAGCACCGGCUAACUCCGUGCCAGCCGCAGC